AAUGAUCAUGUGGUUCUGUUCUUUC
rnacentral:piRNA from 1 species